rnacentral:lncRNA from 1 species
AAGAAAGAAAAUAUAAAAGUGUAGUGUGCAUCAAAUCGCAUGACUUUCUCAGAGUACUAAUACCUCCACCACAACAGGGCACCGCCUGAGUUUUAGGUGCACUACUCAAGUUCAAAAGUAUUUUCUACAAUUUAUUAGAACCUGAUCCAUCAAAUUUUCAGAAUAUCACAUGUUGUCUAAAUUUGUCAAGAAUGGUUCGCA